GAUUGUUCGUAAGUAAAGGAGU
rnacentral:miRNA from 1 species